rnacentral:rRNA from 1 species
AUUAAACGCUGGCGGCAUGCCUUACACAUGCAAGUCGAACGGCAGCACGGGGGCAACCCUGGUGGCGAGUGGCGGACGGGUGAGUAAAGCAUCGGAACGUAUCCUGGAGUGGGGGAUAACGUAGCGAAAGUUACGCUAAUACCGCAUAUUCUGUGAGCAGGAAAGCAGGGGAUCGCAAGACCUUGCGCUCUGGGAGCGGCCGAUGUCGGAUUAGCUAGUUGGUGGGGUAAAAGGCCUACCAAGGCGACGAUCCGUAGCGGGUCUGAGAGGAUGAUCCGCCACACUGGGACUGAGACACGGCCCAGACUCCUACGGGAGGCAGCAGUGGGGAAUUUUGGACAAUGGGCGGAAGCCUGAUCCAGCCAUGCCGCGUGAGUGAAGAAGGCCUU